AGAGACGAGGUAAAAUUCUGGCACCUAUCCACAGCCUGAACCUUGGAGAACACCUCCCUUUCAUAUGACUUCUGCAAAGGGCGUGUUUCAGCUCACAGGGACAAAGAGUCACUGCACCAGAGAACCAGAAAGAGAUGUUUCAGGAAACUGCCGCAACUUUGUAGAGCACAGUUUGAAAGCUACUGCUGAAGAAAUAUGUCACCUUGAAGGCUUUUUAAACACGGGAUUUGCAAGAUAGGGUUUGCAUUUUAGAAACAUUAUUCUGCUUGCUACACUACUGAGUUUGGAUGAGGGAGACUUGAAGGCAAGGGAGCUCUGUUAUGAAAUAACUACACUUUUCUUAUAGAAGAAGACUAUAAUAGACUGUAUCAAAAAUGUCUACGUUCCAUAGCAUUGGUGGAACCAUGCAUUACGUCUGAGGACAAGGACGGGAACCUUCUGUGGCGUGCUGUCAACAGCUUUAAAUAGGCAUUGAGUUUGAAGAUAGAGCACAUGAAGGGCAUGUUACAGCAGAGCUGAAGGGAGAACAGUUGAUGGGGUUUGGUGAUCAACUGAUUUGGAGAGUAAAGCAAUGAGAAGAAUGACAUUCAUGAUUUGGUAUGAAUUAAGGGUUUAUUGGACAGAAGAAAUGAUGGGCAAGAGCGGGCAUGGUGUAGGGGUGGAGUUGGAAACUUCCUUUCAUAUGGUCAACACCUCAGCAACCUCAUUUAGACAUAGGACCUGUGCAUAGUAAUCCCUUUUGUCUUGGAGGUGAGUUGUUGAUUUUAUUUUUAUUUUUAUUUUUUAGCUCCUUGGCACUUCUUUCUAAGGUUAGGGAUCAGAAAGAAACAUAAUUGAGUUCCUGCCAAAUUGAAUAUUCAGAAAGGGCACUGAUAGGGGGAUCAAUUCCUUAUUUCUACCAUGAGACAGGCAAGAUAAAGAAGAGUUGAUAAUUUCUGCACCCAUCUUACUUCCUGCCCACCACAGAGCAGUUCACCCAGUGGCCUGGUUGGAUGUUAGCCAUUGGCAGGGCAAGAAAUCCAACAAUCGACUGUUGAAGAAUUCCAGAGAAUCAGUCUGGAUCUCUUUCACACAGACAAAGUCUUGUUCCAGCUAAUCUUAGGCUCCUAUGCGAGAGGAAAGAUGCUGGGAGGCCAGCACGGUGGCUCACACCCAUAAUCCCAGCACUUUGGGGGGCCAAGGUGGGCAGAUCCCUCGAGCCCAGGAAUUCAAAACCAGCCCGGGCAACAUAGUAAUAACCCCCAUCUCUACAAAAAAUUAAGAAAAAUAAUUAGCCAGAUGUGUUGGUGCAUGCCUUAGUCCUAACUACUCCGCAAGCUGAGCUGAGAGGAUCACUUGAGCCCAGGAGGUCAAGGUUGCAAAGAGCCAUGAUCCUGUGCCUAGGCAACAGAACGAAAAAGAUGUGAGAAAUACUCAAAGUCUUGGUCUUUACCCAGAAGAAUCAGAGCAAGGAAAAGAAAGAUCUCUUUCCCCAGUUUGACAUCCAUCUUCCUAAAUUUGGACAAAGGGAUCCUAAACCACAGCGUCCUACAGUGAGUCAAAAUGCCCAUGCACUGAUUCUCAUCUCACUGGAGUUACAGACACGGCUCACAGGCUUAAGCGUCUUGCUGUAGGUCAUACGGCAGGUUAAUGACAACACUGGGGCAAGAACACAGGUUACGCUCGUCCUGGGGAAGGCUCCCACACCAAGCUACACACUUCUGCAAUGCUGUUCCAGAUGUGAAAAUCCGCUAAGACAAAUAGGUCACAAAAACACCAUGGGAAACGAUGAUGUCUUUUCCUUUUUGUUAUCUUGAUAAAGCUUCAUACAUGGUAAGGAAGAGAAGUCUGGAUUCUGAUUGAUACACAAAAGCUGCAUUCCCACAUCAAGGGAACUCCGAGUGUUCACCCUCCGUGGUAAGGGGAGACUGGGAGACCCCACAAAAGCAUCCCAAGAGAGGAAGAGUCCCUUUACACACCUGCUG
ensembl:lncRNA novel transcript